CAGCCGCCGCGGGAAUACGUAGGUGGCAAGCGUUGUCCGGAAUUAUUGGGCGUAAAGGGCUCGCAGGCGGUUUCCUAAGUCUGAUGUGAAAGCCCCCGGCUCAACCGGGGAGGGUCAUUGGAAACUGGGAAGCUUGAGUGCAGAAGAGGAGAGUGGAAUUCCACGUGUAGCGGUGAAAUGCGUAGAGAUGUGGAGGAACACCAGUGGCGAAGGCGACUCUCUGGUCUGUAACUGACGCUGAGGAGCGAAAGUGUGGGGAGCGAACAGGAUUAGAUACCCCAGUAGUCCCUGUCUCUUAUAC
rnacentral:rRNA from 1 species